rnacentral:rRNA from 1 species
CGGAGGGAGCUUGCUCCCAAAGAUUAGCGGCGGACGGGUGAGUAACACGUGGGCAACCUGCCUGUAAGACUGGGAUAACUUCGGGAAACCGGAGCUAAUACCGGAUAAUCCUUUUCCUCUCAUGAGGGAAAGCUGAAAGACGGUUUCGGCUGUCACUUACAGAUGGGCCCGCGGCGCAUUAGCUAGUUGGUGAGGUAACGGCUCACCAAGGCGACGAUGCGUAGCCGACCUGAGAGGGUGAUCGGCCACACUGGGACUGAGACACGGCCCAGACUCCUACGGGAGGCAGCAGUAGGGAAUCUUCCGCAAUGGACGAAAGUCUGACGGAGCAACGCCGCGUGAGCGAAGAAGGCCUUCGGGUCGUAAAGCUCUGUUGUCAGGGAAGAACAAGUGCCGGAGUAACUGCCGGCACCUUGACGGUACCUGACCAGAAAGCCACGGCUAACUACGUGCCAGCAGCCGCGGUAAUACGUAGGUGGCAAGCGUUGUCCGGAAUUAUUGGGCGUAAAGCGCGCGCAGGCGGUCCUUUAAGUCUGAUGUGAAAGCCCACGGCUCAACCGUGGAGGGUCAUUGGAAACUGGGGGACUUGAGUGCAGAAGAGGAGAGUGGAAUUCCACGUGUAGCGGUGAAAUGCGUAGAGAUGUGGAGGAACACCAGUGGCGAAGGCGACUCUCUGGUCUGUAACUGACGCUGAGGCGCGAAAGCGUGGGGAGCGAACAGGAUUAGAUACCCUGGUAGUCCACGCCGUAAACGAUGAGUGCU